rnacentral:rRNA from 1 species
AACGCUGGCGGCAUGCCUAAUACAUGCAAGUCGAAUGGGGAGCUUGCUUCCAGUGGCGAACGGGUGAGUAAUACGUAGGUAACCUACCUUUAGGACGAGGAUAACCUUUGGAAACGAAGGAUAAUACUGGAUAGUAUAGAUUUCCGCGAUGGAGAUAUAUUUAAAGAUUUAUCACCUAGAGAGGGGCCUGCGGUGCAUUAGCGUAGUUGGCGGGAUAAAGCCCACCAAGGCGAUGAUGCAUAGCCGGACUGAGAGGUUGUACGGCCACAAUGGAACUGAGAACGGUCCAUACUCCUACGGGAGGCAGCAGUAGGGAAUUUUCGGCAAUGGGCGGAAGCCUGACCGAGCAAAUGCCGCGUGAAUGAUGAAGUAUUCGGUAUGUAAAGUUCUUUAUCUAGGAAGAAAAACAAAUUGACGGUACUAGAUGAAUAAGCUCCGGCUAACUACGUGCCAGCAGCCGC